rnacentral:rRNA from 1 species
GCCAGACUCCUACGGGAGGCAGCAGUGAGGAAUAUUGGUCAAUGGGCGGGAGCCUGAACCAGCCAAGCCGCGUGAGGGAAGAAGGUACAGCGUAUCGUAAACCUCUUUUGUCAGGGAACAAAGGCGGGGACUAGUCCCCGGAUGAGGGUACCUGAAGAAAAAGCAUCGGCUAACUCCGUGCCAGCAGCCGCGGUAAUACGGAGGAUGCGAGCGUUAUCCGGAUUUAUUGGGUUUAAAGGGUGCGUAGGCGGAAUGCCAAGUCAGCGGUAAAAUCGCGGGGCUCAACCUCGUCGAGCCGUUGAAACUGGGUGCCUUGAGUGGGCGAGAAGUACGCGGAAUGCGUGGUGUAGCGGUGAAAUGCAUAGAUAUCACGCAGAACUCCGAUUGCGAAGGCAGUAUACCGGCGCCCAACUGACGCUGAAGCACGAAAGCGUGGGUAUCGAACAGGAUUAGAUACCCCGGUAC